rnacentral:rRNA from 1 species
GUUGAACGCUGGCGGCAGGCCUAACACAUGCAAGUCGAGCGGAGCGGCGGAAGAGUGAUGGAUGCCUAGGAAGCUGCCUGGUAGUGGGGGAUAACGUCGGGGAAGGGGAGCUAAUACCGCAUACUAUCAGAUCAGCCUAGGGCGUAUUAGAUGGUUGGUGGGGUAAAGGCUUAGCAAGGAGGCGAUCCGUAACUGGUCUGAGAGGAUGAUCAGUCACACGUGAACUGAGACACGGUCCAGACUCCUACGGGAGGAAGCAGUGGGGAAUAUUGGACAAUGGACGAAAGCCUGAUCCAGCCAUGCCGCGUGUGUGAAGAAGGUCUUCGGAUUGUAAAGCACUUUAAGUUGGGAGGCGUUACCAACAGAAUAAGCACCGGCUAACUUCGUGCCAGCAGCCGCGGUAAUAC